rnacentral:lncRNA from 1 species
GAUCCUCCUUGAUUUCCUUCAACUUUUCCUCAGCCUCUUGAGGGCUGGGAUUCAGGCAUGCGCCACCACGCCUGGGUCCCCAGUCUUCUCCAGGAAGGAAACAAGUGCACUCUGGUGAAAGCACGCUGCCUCCAGCAGUGCAGCUGGGCAUGCGCAGAGAGGGUCUCCCAGAGGGGCGCAAGUGUCGCCCUCCACUCCCACGGCUGUCCGGGGACUCGCCCGCGCCGGCCUCCCUGUCCUGGGCCACUUCCUGUAGCACCGCCGCUUUCCCUCCUCCUGCCUGUGUCGGCUGCUGGUCUCCGAGUUUAAUCUCCAGCCCUGCCACUGGGUCCCGGCUGCCCGUCCCAGCCCUGCCCGAGGGCCUUACCUGCAGCCCGGAAGACUUCGCUGGCCCAGGUGCUGCGGUCUUGGCCACACUCAGAAUCGGCAGGUUGCUGGGAAAAGCUUUGCUCUCGGCCGGAAGCAGAGGAGCGAGGCCUGUGUGUGGCGGGCAGGACCGGCCCAGGGUCACUGGCACGGAGGUCCCACCUCGGCGGGGAGCUUCCUGCCCUACACCUGCCCGGCCUUCUCCUGCCCAUGGCCCCAAACCCGGGUGAUGCUGGGGAUCAGGGCACCCCAGCGCUCUGCCCAGCCCGCCCCUCUAGCUCCGUGUCUCCCACGGGGCGCUCCCCUACCUGUGGUGGCCAUGGGUGCCGGGGCGGGGGGGUGGCUGGAGCCGGUGGGGGUCCCGGGUGGGGCAGGCCCGCUGACCAGCACCGAAGCAGUGGGGUUGGCGAGGGGCCCCAGGCUGGUGGGAGUCUGCUGGGUGCCAGGGGCUCCCGCGGCCUUGUUCUGGAGGAGGAUUCCGGACGGCACCUGAGGAAGGAC